rnacentral:misc_RNA from 1 species
GAUGAAGACGCAGCGAAAUGCGAUAAGUAAUGUGAAUUGCAGAAUUCAGUGAAUCAUCGAAUCUUUGAACGCACAUUGCGCCCGCCAGUAUUCUGGCGGGCAUGCCUGUCCGAGCGUCAUUUCAACCCUCGAACCCCUCCGGGGGGUCGGCGUUGGGGACCUCGGGAGCCCCUAAGACGGGAUCCCGGCCCCGAAAUACAGUGGCGGUCUCGCCGCAGCCUCUCCUGCGCAGUAGUUUGCACAACUCGCACCGGGAGCGCGGCGCGUCCACGUCCGUAAAACACCCAACUUCUGAAAUGUUGACCUCGGAUCAGGUAGGAAUACCCGCUGAACUUAAGCAUAUCAAUAAGCGGAGGA